rnacentral:rRNA from 1 species
UACAUGUGGGGCAAGCGUUGUUCGGAAUUACUGGGCGUAAAGGGCGCGUAGGCGGCAAAUUAAGUCAGCUGUGAAAUCUCCGAGCUUAACUCGGAACGGUCAGCUGAUACUGAUCUGCUAGAGUGCGGAAGGGGCAAUCGGAAUUCUUGGUGUAGCGGUGAAAUGCGUAGAUAUCAAGAGGAACACCUGAGGUGAAGACGGGUUGCUGGGCUGACACUGACGCUGAGGCGCGAAAGCCAGGGGAGCAAACGGG